rnacentral:rRNA from 1 species
UUCCUACGGGGGGCAGCAGUAGGGAAUUUUCGUCAAUGGGCGCAAGCCUGAACGAGCAAUGCCGCGUGAACGAGGAAGGUCUUCGGAUCGUAAAGUUCUGUUGAAGGGGAAAAAGAGCGGAGAGAGGAAAUGGUCUCCGAUUGAUAUUACCCUUCGAGGAAGUCACGGCUAACUACGUGCCAGCAGCCGCGGUAAUACGUAGGUGGCAAGCGUUGUCCGGAUUUAUUGGGCGUAAAGCGAGUGCAGGCGGUUUCAUAAGUCUGACGUGAAAGCCUUCGGCUCAACCGGAGAAUUGCAUCAGAAAC